rnacentral:rRNA from 1 species
GACGAACGCUGGCGGCGUGCUUAACACAUGCAAGUCGAGCGGAAAGGCCCCUUUGGGGGUACUCGAGCGGCGAACGGGUGAGUAACACGUGAGUAAUCUGCCCUUCACUUUGGGAUAACCCCCGGAAACGGGAGCUAAUACCGGAUACGACCACCGUCUGCAUGGACUGGUGGUGGAAACUUUUUUGGGUGGGGGAUGUGCUCGCGGCCUAUCAGCUUGUUGGUGGGGUAAUGGCCUACCAAGGCUUUGACGGGUAGCCGGCCUGAGAGGGUGACCGGCCACACUGGGACUGAGACACGGCACAGACUCCUACGGGAGGCAGCAGUGGGGAAUAUUGGACAAUGGGCGGAAGCCUGAUCCAGCAACGCCGCGUGAGGGACGACGGCCUUCGGGUUGUAAACCUCUUUCAGCACCGACGAAGCGUGAGUGACGGUAGGUGCAGAAGAAGGACCGGCCAACUACGUGCCAGCAGCCGCGGUAACAC